GGUGCCGGCCCAGGUGGCAGGCGCGCCCGUUGGGCACUGGGGGACGCGGGCGCGUCAGGUGAAGACUGGGGGCUGCAGGCGCGCUAGGAGAACUAUGCCAUUUUUGGGUCAGGACUGGAGAUCUCCUGGAUGGAGUUGGAUUAAGACAGAAGAUGGCUGGAAGAAUUGUGAAUCUUGUAGUCAGAAACUUGAAAGAGAGAAUAACCAUUGUAACAUCAGUCACAGCAUUAUCUUAAAUAGCGAAGAUGGAGAAAUACUCAAUAAUGAAGAGCAUGAAUAUGCAUCCAAAAAAAGAAAAAGGACCAUUUUAGAAAUGACACAAAUACUCAAAGUUUUUAUCAUGAAAAAUGGAUCUAUGUCCAUAAAGAAAGCACAAAAGAAAGGCAUGGCUAUUGCACCUUGGGAGAAACCUUUAAUCGGUUAGACUUCUCAAGUGCAAUUCAAGAUACCCGAAGGUUCAAUUAUGUGGUCAAACUGCAGGACAAAUUCGAGCAUCUUAAAAUGAUUCAACAGGAGGAGAUAAGGAAGCUCGAGGAAGAGAAAAAACAACUGGAAGGAGAAAUCAUAGAUUUUUAUAAAAUGAAAGCUGCCUCUGAAGCACUGCAGACUCAGCUGAGCACUGAUACAAAGAAAGACAAACAUCCUGAUCCAUAUGAAUUCCUCUUAUUAAGAAAAAUAAAGCAUCCAGGAUUCAAUGAAGAACUGACUAUCACCUUGUUAAUCAUUCAGAAACAUGUUGCAGACUUAAGCCAUUUUUGAUAUAGAUACUGAAACAAUUACUUGCUAAGAGCAAACUUGAAGACCAAACCAAUGCAGACCAAACCAAUGCAGAACUCCUAUGUGCUGAUGGUGGUCUUACAUUUCCCUAAGUUUCUGCCGACUAAACUGUGCACACGUUCUCAGGACCUCCUGAAGCUGCGUCACAGGCACUAAUCAAAGAACACAACCAAGAGUUUGGCCUUUUCUUCAGCACUGGGAAUUGUGAUCCAAAGCUUUUCCUGAUGAAGCACAAAGUUGGAGAAAAAAAAGCAAACUAAACAACAACAAUGAAACAGAACAGAGUUAAUCUGCUGUAGCUCAAGAGAGGAUGUACCUGCCCCCACCCCGCAUCCCUGGGCUCGGGUUUGCCUUGCUGACCUCUGCUGCCACCUGGUGCCACACAGAGAAACUGAGGAGAAACCACAUCAGUCUCCUUCAGCCUCAGCUUCACAUCUGUGGGUCAAGUAACCCUUUCAGAAGCUGAAUAAUGUGGGAAAGCUUUCCUCUCAGGAAAAUGCACACAUCCAACUUUGAGAAGAUGCCCUUGGGGGUGCUUCAAGGAUCCUAGAUAAAGAACCCCCUUUCCCGAACAUCCAAGAACCUAAGUUUUUUUUUUUUUUUUUGAGAAAGUCUCGCUCUCUCUCCCAGUCUGGAGUGCAGUGGCGUGAUCUUGGCUCACUGCAAGCUCCACCUCCCAGGUUCACGCCAUUCUCCUGCCUCAGCCUCCCGAGUAGCUGGGGCUACAGGCACCUGCCACCAAACCCGGCUAAUUUUUUUGUAUUUUUAGUAGAGACGGGGUUUCACCGUGUUAGCCAGGAUCGUCUUGAUCUCCUGACCUUGUGAUCCACCCGCCUCGGCCUCCCAAAUUGCUGGGAUUACAGAUGUGAGCCACCGCACCUGGUCCAAGAACCCAAGUUUUAGAUCUAGAGUGAUGUCAGCAUGACAUUGAUUUCCUGAGGCCCAGGGUCGAAGGAGCUGAGGACAGCAGAGGGGUGAAGGAACUCAGCUACAGACAGCAGCAGCUGAUGCACAGGGCUCCCAGCGCCUGAAGUCACCCGGAAUUGGGAAGUGCUCAGAAGCUUACAAAGCUGCCUCGAGCAGAAGAAUCCCAGACUUCUUAGAGAACCCAGUGACUUUUUGCACCUUAAAUCUGUGAAAUCCUCAUGCUUUCUUCUGCCGUAUCCAUCGUUCAAACAAACAUGAGGCAAAGCUAGACACAUUCCUGAAGGAACCCAAGAAAUUCCUCUCUUUCUCUCUCUGGAAUGAAAUGAAUUCUCUAGACCACCAGUUCUAACCUUCAAAAACCAAACCUGUUUGUGAGAUCUCCUUCAAAUACUACUGUAGACCCCAGUGUUUAUUCAUUAAAUUUUUUAAAUAUU
ensembl:lncRNA novel transcript